UACGUAGGGUGCAAGCGUUGUCCGGAAUUAUUGGGCGUAAAGAGCUCGUAGGCGGUCUGUCGCGUCGGCUGUGAAAACUCGGGGCUCAACUCCGAGCUUGCAGUCGAUACGGGCAGGCUAGAGUUCGGCAGGGGAGACUGGAAUUCCUGGUGUAGCGGUGAAAUGCGCAGAUAUGAGGAGGAACACCGGUGGCGAAGGCGGGUCUCUGGGCCGAUACUGACGCUGAGGAGCGAAAGCGUGGGGAUCGAACAGG
rnacentral:rRNA from 1 species